GGGGGCAUGGCUCAAAUGGUAGAGUGCCUGCCUAGUAAGCAUGAGGUCCUGAGUUCACAUCUCCAGUACUGUCA
rnacentral:tRNA from 1 species